rnacentral:rRNA from 1 species
CUACGGAGGGUGCAAGCGUUAUUCGGAAUCACUGGGCGUAAAGGGUGCGUAGGCGGUUUGAUAAGUCUGAUGUGAAAUCCUAUGGCUCAACCAUAGAACUGCAUUGGAAACUGUCAGACUAGAAUACUGAAGGGGCAGAUGGAAUUAGUGGUGUAGGGGUAAAAUCCGUAGAUAUCACUAGGAAUACCGAAAGCGAAAGCGAUCUGCUGGGAAGUUAUUGACGCUGAGGCACGAAAGCGUGGGGAGCAAACGGAAUUAGAUACCCUAGUAGUCC